rnacentral:rRNA from 1 species
UACAGAGGUCUCAAGCGUUGUUCGGAAUCACUGGGCGUAAAGGGUGCGUAGGUGGCGUGGUAAGUCAGAUGUGAAAGCCCGGGGCUCAACCUCGGAACUGCAUCCGAUACUGCCAUGCUUGAGUAUUGGAGAGGAGUCUAGAAUUCACGGUGUAGCAGUGAAAUGCGUAGAUAUCGUGAGGAAUACCAAAGGCGAAGGCAGGACUCUGGACAAUUACUGACACUGAGGCACGAAGGCUAGGGUAGCGAACGGG